AACGAACGCUGGCGGCAGGCCUAACACAUGCAAGUCGAGCGCGCCCUUCGGGGUGAGCGGCGGACGGGUGAGUAACGCGUGGGAACGUGCCCUUCUCUGCUGAAUAGCCUCGGGAAACUGAGAGUAAUACCGCAUACGCCCUUUGGGGGAAAGAUUUAUCGGAGAAGGAUCGGCCCGCGUUGGAUUAGGUAGUUGGUGGGGUAAUGGCCCACCAAGACGACGAUCCAUAGCUGGUUUGAGAGGAUGAUCAGCCACACUGGGACUGAGACACGGCCCAGACUCCUACGAGAGGCAGCAGGGGGGAAUCGUAGACAAAGGGGGCAACCAUGAACUAGCCAUGCCGCGGGAGUGAUGAAGGCCUUAGGGUUGUAAAGCUCUUUCAGCUGGGAAGAUAAUGGCGGUACCAGCAGAAGAAGCCCCGGCUAACACAGUG
rnacentral:rRNA from 1 species